AGAUGCUGUCCUGUUGGAAAUUCUUCUUUACGUGAUCCUGGAGGAUGGUGAUGCUACAUUACUAAGUCCGUCUUUGGUUUGUUCCAAAUUCAGAAGUCUGUUGUACUGUAUACAGACUCCUUUCGAAAGAGGGCACAAUCCAGCUACCUUGACAGAGUGUUUUCUUUUACAUAUUUGAUUAGAGGUUUAAAAAGGUGGAACAAAAUGGAGAACAAGUCUAAGCCAUGCCAGGAAUUCUUCAAAAUGUACACCUUGCAGACACUGCGACGAGGUUUACAACAACUGCUUACCAGGUCACUGCAGUCACCCGGAUCCAGUACAUAUCCAGACCAGAUGGUGGAUCCCCUGUAA